rnacentral:misc_RNA from 1 species
GAUGAAGAACGUAGCGAAACGCGAUAGGUAAUGUGAAUUGCAGAAUUCCGUGAAUCAUCGAGUCUUUGAACGCACAUUGCGCCCCCUGGCAUUCCGGGGGGCAUGCCUGUCCGAGCGUCAUUGCUGCCCUUCAAGCCCGGCUUGUGUGUUGGGUCGUCGUCCCCCCCGGGGGACGGGCCCGAAAGGCAGCGGCGGCACCGCGUCCGGUCCUCGAGCGUAUGGGGCUUUGUCACCCGCUCGAUUAGGGCCGGCCGGGCGCCAGCCGGCGUCUCCAACCUUCUAUUUUACCAGGUUGACCUCGGAUCAGGUAGGGAUACCCGCUGAACUUAAGCAUAUCAAUAAGCGGAGGA